rnacentral:rRNA from 1 species
CAAUAGCGUAUAUUAAAGUUGUUGCGGUAAAAAAGCUCGUAGUUGGACUUCUGUUGAGAGAUACCGGUCCAUGCAACGCAUGCGUAUUUGGUAAGUCUCGGCAUCCUCUCGAAAAACUUCUUUGCGCUUGAUUGCGUGAAAAGAGUUUCGGGACUUUUACUUUGAGGAAAUUAGAGUGUUCACGGCAGGCCAUCGCCAGGGUACAUUAGCAUGGAAUAAUACUAUAGGAUCUUGAUCCUAUUUUGUUGGUUUCUAGGAUUAAGAUAAUGAUUAAUAGGGACAAUUGGGGGCAUUCGUAUCAACACGUCAGAGGUGAAAUUCUUGGAUUGUGUUGCGACGAACUACUGCGAAAGCAUUUGCCAAGGAUGUUUUCAUUGA